AAACCGGGGCUAAUACCGGAUACGACCUUCGAGGGCAUCCUGGAAGGUGGAAAGGAUUCUGGCUAGGGAUGGGCCCGCGGCCUAUCAGCUUGUUGGUGGGGUAACGGCCUACCAAGGCGCCGACGGGUAGCCGGCCUGAGAGGGCGACCGGCCACACUGGGACUGAGACACGGCCCAGACUCCUACGGGAGGCAGCAGUGGGGAAUAUUGCACAAUGGGCGAAAGCCUGAUGCAGCGACGCCGCGUGAGGGAUGACGGCCUUCGGGUUGUAAACCUCUUUCAGCAGGGACGAAGCGAAAGUGACGGUACCUGCAGAAGAAGCACCGGCCAACUACGUGCCAGCAGCCGCGGUAAUACGUAGGGUGCAAGCGUUGUCCGGAAUUAUUGGGCGUAAAGAGCUCGUAGGCGGUUUGUCACGUCGGCUGUGAAAACCUGGGGCUCAACCCCGGGCCUGCAGCCGAUACGGGCAAACUAGAAUUCGGUAGGGGAGACUGGAAUUCCUGGUGUAGCGGUGAAAUGCGCAGAUAUCAGGAGGAACACCGGUGGCGAAGGCGGGUCUCUGGGCCGAUAUUGACGCUGAGGAGCGAAAGCGUGGGGAGCGAACAGGAUUAGAUACCCUGGUAGUCCACGCCGUAAACGUUGGGCGCUAGGUGUGGGCCACAUUCCACGUGGUCUGUGCCGCAGCUAACGCAUUAAGCGCCCCGCCUGGGGAGUACGGCCGCAAGGCUAAAACUCAAAGGAAUUGA
rnacentral:rRNA from 1 species